ensembl:lncRNA
CCGCCUCCACCGUCUGGUUCGCGCGGGUGAACCGCGGCACGUUGUCGUUCCUGUCCGACACUUCGACCCGGACGGCGGCCGGUCGCCCGCGACACCGCGGCGGAAGCUCGACCGUCAGCUCGUACAUCGCUAUGAACUCCCGGUCCAGCGCUCUGGCGGAGACCAGCCCCAGAUGCCCCAGAUGCCCCAGAUGCCCCGGGCGGUCCCCGCGGUGGCGAAUGAGCCUAAAGUCCGACGCGUAUUCCCCCGUCAGGCUGGCGUUGAGGUCCGCGCCGGGGCAGCCUCCGGCCCCGUCCGGUAGCAGCACCCCCUGCACCGGCGUCCCGGCCGGGGAGUUCUCGGCUAUUUGUCCGUAGUAGCGCGCUGGACGCCGCGGCCGCGCGGACAGAGACUCCGCGGGGGCGUGAAGCAGCAGCAGGAGGUGGAGCAGGAGAACCGGUCCGGGUUCCGCUCCGGUCAUGUUUCCAUCCAAGCUGUGGUCAGCAGCAGGAGCGGGUCUCCAACAAGGGUUCAAGGCCGAGGAAUCCACGCGUAAAAAGCCAAUUAGCUGCUGGAGCGAUUUAGAAGGAAUCUAAUUAACUAAAUCCGUUUGGAUGCGUUAGAUCCGCACUGCUCCAGAUGUUCUUCUCCUUUUCUCCUCCGGUUCCACCGAUCAAUAAACGCACAGAAGCGCUGAUGAGAGAUCAGAUCUUCUCCACAGUUGAGUUGAGAUGUUUUCUGCAGCGCGUUUCUGAGCGGACUGACGCGCGCUGAGGACCCCUGCGGACUCCGUGUGGCCCCGCGGGCUCCGCCCACCGCAGAGGAAACAGACCAAUCGGGUAGCAGCCAUGGGUCUGAGUGACAGGACGGAAAGACCCGCCCACUGCCAAGCUUAGUCCGCUGAUGGAGAGAGAGGUCGAGGGGUCAGAAGGUCACUGGUAUGAUGGAAGUUGCCAGUCUUUCGUCUGCACCAGGAGGUCCUCCUCAAUCUGAGUCGUGUUUGUGAAGGAAGUAUCUCAGAAGAGCUCCUCUGGGCUCCUUCUUCUGAAGGGUGGAGUUCCACGUCAGUGUCAAGUUCUCUUAACACCAACACUGUCGUCUCCUCGCACCUCGUAAACUCUCCUUGUGAACUCUCCUUACCACCUUUCCUCGGCCCCUGCAAGGUUUCCCACAGAGGUUGAGGAGAAGUGGAGAAGUUAGGAAAGGAGGUGAGGAGGAUCAGUUAAAGUCACAUACAAGCAAUGACAGUGAAUGAAUGUGUUUGUGCUUUAUUACAUUUCCAGUGUGGCCUCAAAGAAUGAAAGAAAGAAAGAAAGGACCUCUAAAUGAGUGGCUCUGGACUGGUCUGUCUCCGGGACCCACCAUCACCCCUCAAUGACAAGCGAGGAACAUUCUCAACUUCAACAGGCGCAGCUGUUACAGCUGAACGUGUGAUAUGAAGAUGAAGUCCACACCUGCUCCGUCACCAUUUAGAGAAAGCUCCAAAAGUCAACGGAAGCAGUGAAUCCAUCCGAGCAGGCGGGCGGAUCCACAACGUGUGUUUACACCCUGAUUGGUGGAACCCACGCAGACACGGGGAGAAGAGAGAGUGGAACCCGGGACCUUCUUGCUGCUGACAACCGCCGUGCCGCUCAAAAAGGAG